UACGUAGGGGUGCAAGCGUUUGUCCGGAAUUAUUGGGCGUAAAGAGCUCGUAGGCGGUUUGUCGCGUCUGCUGUGAAAACCCGAGGCUCAACCUCGGGCCUGCAGUGGGUACGGGGCAGACUAGAGUGCGGUAGGGGAGAUUGGAAUUCCUGGUGUAGCGGUGGAAUGCGCAGAUAUCAGGAGGAACACCAAUGGCGAAGGCAGAUCUCUGGGCCGUAACUGACGCUGAGGAGCGAAAGCAUGGGGAGCGAACAGG
rnacentral:rRNA from 1 species